ensembl:misc_RNA
UUUUCAGCUUUAGAUUGAGGUCAGAAACUGUCACAAAGUCUUAAAUUCUAUUAUGAGUCAUAUGCAUCCAAUGCGUGGUGGUCCAGUUUAUGACCACAUAAAAGGACAAUUUGUUGUUUAAUGUCAGCUUUGAGUUUAGGAUGCAUCCCAGACAUAUUACUUAUUUUGGGAGAUGUUUCUCUCAGCUGUUAAUGAAGCAAU